AGCGAACGCUGGCGGCAGGCCUAACACAUGCAAGUCGAACGAACUCUUCGGAGUUAGUGGCGGACGGGUGAGUAACACGUGGGAACGUGCCUUUAGGUUCGGAAUAACUCAGGGAAACUUGUGCUAAUACCGAAUGUGCCCUUCGGGGGAAAGAUUUAUCGCCUUUAGAGCGGCCCGCGUCUGAUUAGCUAGUUGGUGGGGUAAUGGCCCACCAAGGCUACGAUCAGUAGCUGGUCUGAGAGGAUGACCAGCCACAUUGGGACUGAGACACGGCCCAAACUCCUACGGGAGGCAGCAGUGGGGAAUCUUGCGCAAUGGGCGAAAGCCUGACGCAGCCAUGCCGCGUGGAUGAUGAAGGUCUUAGGAUUGUAAAAUCCCUUCACCGGUGAAGAUAAUGACUGUAGCCGGAGAAGAAGCCCCGGCUAACUUCGUGCCAGCCGCCGCCGUAAUAC
rnacentral:rRNA from 1 species